rnacentral:rRNA from 1 species
UACGAGGGGGGCAAAUGUUGUUCGGAAUCACUGGGCGUAAAGGGAGCGUAGGCGGGUGUUUAAGUUAGGUGUUUAAUCCUGGGGCCCAACCCCAGUCGUGCACCUAAAACUGGACAUCUUGAAUAGUGGAGAGGUCAGUGGAAUUGGGGGUGUAGCGGUGGAAUGCGUAGAGAUCCCCAAGAACACCAGUUGCGAAGGCGGCUGACGUGGACACAUAUUGACGCUGAGGCUCGGAAAGCAUGGGGAGCAAACAGA